CCUACGGGUGGCUGCAGUGGGGAAUAUUGCGCAAUGGGCGAAAGCCUGACGCAGCAACGCCGCGUGAGUGAUGAAGGCCUUCGGGUUGUAAAACUCUGUCAGAUGGGAAGAACCUUGACCGAUUUAUAAGAUCGGACAACUGACGGUACCAUCAGAGGAAGCUCCGGCUAACUCCGUGCCAGCAGCCGCGGUAAUACGGAGGGAGCUAGCGUUGUUCGGAAUUACUGGGCGUAAAGGGCGCGUAGGCGGUGGUGUAAGUCAGAUGUGUAAACCAUCGGCUUAACCGAUUGGAUUGCAUUUGAUACUGCAUCACUUGAGUUCAGUAGAGGAGAGUGGAAUUCCCAGUGUAGCGGUGGAAUGCGUAGAUAUUGGGAAGAACACCAGUGGCGAAGGCGGCUCUCUGGACUGACACUGACGCUGAGGCGCGAAAGCUAGGGGAGCGAACAGGAUUAGAUACCCUAGUAGUC
rnacentral:rRNA from 1 species